rnacentral:pre_miRNA from 1 species
AUUUGACCACUUGGCGUGACUGUGGUUAAGUUCAGUUAAGUCAGAUGGUGAAAAGAUA